rnacentral:sRNA from 1 species
GCUGGGUGCAGUGGCACACGCCUGUAAUCCCAGUGGCUUGGGACGCUGAGGCAGGAGGAUCAUGAGUUCAAAGCCAGCCUCAGCAAAAGCAAGGUUCUGAGCAACUCAGUGAGACCCUGUCUCUA